rnacentral:rRNA from 1 species
CCUACGGGCGGCUGCAGUAAGGAAUAUUGGUCAAUGGACGCAAGUCUGAACCAGCCAUGCCGCGUGGAGGAUGAAGGUCCUCUGGAUUGUAAACUUCUUUUAUUUGGGAAGAAACUCCCGAUUUCCAUCGGGAUUGACGGUACCAGAUGAAUAAGCACCGGCUCACUCCGUGCCAGCAGCCGCGGUAAUACGGAGGGUGCAGGCGUUAUCCGGUUUCACUGGUGUGAAGGUGUGCGUAGAUGGGCAGGGAGAAAGCUCCGGGCUUAACCCGGAAACUGCCAUUGAUACUAUUUGUCUUGAAUACUCUGGAGGUGAGCGGAAUAUGUCAUGUAGCGGUGAAAUGCUUAGAUAUGACAGAGAACACCCAUUGCGAAGGCAGCUCACUACGGAAAUAUUGACGCUGAGGCACGAAAGCGUGGGGAUCAAACAGGAUUAGAUACCCCAGUAGUC